CGGGCGCGGGCUCCCGGUGGGGCCGGGCCCUGCGCCUCGCCUCGCCCCCGCCCCGCGCUGAAAGACGCUGCCUUCACCGUCUUCGAUCACUCCGCCGCCCGUGAUUUAUCAACUGCUAUGUUCGCCGUCUCCCAGGAGGUGCCACUCACGCAUCUUCCUCAACAAGGCACACACACGGCGGUUUUGGAUUGGAUGGCCAAAACCUGUCAGAGAUCUGGAAGAGAAGUGACUUGCCUGGAGUCACAGGACAAGAAAAUGAGGCUGAGUCAUACACAUGACUUAAUCUGCCAUUUUAAAAGGAUGGAAAAGGUGCUUUUUAGGAUAUGAACACUUGUACGAGACAUCUGCAGUCUUCUUGGAGACAGUAUUUGGAAAGCAAUCGCCCGUUUUAGCUUGCCUCGGGUAGCACAGUUGGUACGGGACUGCAUGUCAAGGAGACAUCACAUCUCCUGCGAGCAGGAGGAGUUCCUGGCUGCCCCUUGUGGGGGCUUGAAAUGGCAGAAGGCAUUGGAGCAGCUUCUCAGCCUGUUUCAAGGGGCUUGUGAAAACUUCCCCACCCUCUGCCUGUGGGAGGCUAAGGGCACCCUUUCCAAGCCAUUUCUUAGCCAAGUCAGGAAACCAAGCAACAAAACCCACGGCCCUGUGCCAACAUCAGCACACCACAGGAGUGCUCGCAGGGUCCCCAUUCAAAACAUCAAGCGAUUUAUAUAAGUACCAAAAGUCUAAUCCUGGGAGCCCAAGGCUUUGUCUAUACAGAGGAAGUGGCUGGCACUGCUUUUGAAAACCCCAUUAUUCCGCAAGAGCUAUUCCAGAAGAGCACUUAGGCAGACAGCCCUUUAAAGGCGAAUUCCUUCACAAAGUAUGCUUUUAUUCCUGAACAGAAUGCACAUGCAGAGGGUGACCCUUCUGGUGCUGCUGAGCAGCUCUGCAGCAGACAAUACCUCUCUCUGUAAACAACCUUCCCUUCAUUAUCCUUUUAGUUUGUAAAAUGGUUCUCAGAAAGGUCAAUGAAUGCCAGAAUCUGAAGACCAUUUCCCACUCCAAAGUGCUACUUUGGGCAAUAAAUUACAUUCUACAAAUUCAAAA